rnacentral:lncRNA from 1 species
ACUUGCAGGUACUGGAUGAACCAUUCUCAUCAUCCAAGCAAAAAGAGAAUCAACAUCGAUAUGGGCUAGGAUGGCAGUGACUCUAUAGGAUCGGAUUUUGUUCAGAUAAGAAUCACACCAAGCCAAGACGUUCUCAGUCAUGGCAGGCUUAUGAGUGAAAGUGAUAAAUUGGAACUCUAAGCAUGCUGGCUAUAGAAGAAGAUGGUUGAAGAGAAUAAGCCCGGAUAAAUUAUCAAGUGUGGAUCAU